CGGAGGGUGCAAGCGUUAUCCGGAUUCACUGGGUUUAAAGGGUGCGUAGGUGCUUGUAAGUCAGUGGUGAAAUGCCGGAGCUCAACUCCGGAACUGCCAUUGAUACUGCUUAGCUUGAAUCAAGUCGAGGUGGAUGGAAUAUUACAUGUAGCGGUGAAAUGCUUAGAUAUGUAAUAGAACACCGAUUGCGAAGGCAGUUCACUAGGCUUGUAUUGACACUGAGGCACGAAAGCGUGGGGAUCAAACAGGAUUAGAUACCCUGGUAGUCCACGCCCUAAACGAUGUAAACUCGACAUCAGCGAUAUACUGUUGGUGUCCAAGCGAAAGCGUUAAGUUUACCACCUGGGAAGUACGACCGCAAGGUUG
rnacentral:rRNA from 1 species